rnacentral:rRNA from 1 species
GAUGAACGCUGGCGGCGUGCCUAAUACAUGCAAGUCGAGCGAACGGACGAGAAGCUUGCUUCUCUGAUGUUAGCGGCGGACGGGUGAGUAACACGUGGAUAACCUACCUAUAAGACUGGGAUAACUUCGGGAAACCGGAGCUAAUACCGGAUAAUAUUUUGAACCGCAUGGUUCAAAAGUGAAAGACGGUCUUGCUGUCACUUAUAGAUGGAUCCGCGCUGCAUUAGCUAGUUGGUAAGGUAACGGCUUACCAAGGCAACGAUGCGUAGCCGACCUGGGAGGGGGGUCGGCGGCCCGGGAGGGGAGACGGGGUCGAGGCUGCUAGGGGAGGCAGCAGUAGGGAAUGUGGCGCAGAGGGCGAAAGCAUGACGGAGCAGGGCCGCGGGAGUGAUGAAGGUCUUCGGAGCGGAAAGCUGUGUUAUGGGGGAAGAACAUAUGUGUAAGGAGCUGUGGAGAUCUUGACGGUACCUGAUGAGAAAGCCACGGCUAACUACGUG